UUCCCCAGGUCUAAGCUCCUUCGAUUAUAAGCUCUCGGUUCCUCUGCUUUUAGUUAGUAGGUUUUAUUUUGGAGCAGAGGGAGCCUUAGUCGAGUUUGGAAGGAGCUAGUUUUAGUUUUAUAUGUAUAAGUCCUGAAAGUUCAAAUAUGUGUAUAAACACCCUUGAAUGUUUAGACCCCCAAAUUACAACUUAA